UACAGAGGUGGCAAGCGUUGUUCGGAAUUACUGGGCGUAAAGGGCGCGUAGGCGGUUCGUUAAGUCCUGUGUGAAAUCCCCCGGCUCAACUGGGGAACUGCACAGGAAACUAGCGGGCUUGAGUUCGGGAGAGGGAAGCGGAAUUCCGGGUGUAGCGGUGAAAUGCGUAGAUAUCCGGAGGAACACCGGUGGCGAAGGCGGGACUCUGGGCCGAUACUGACGCUGAGGAGCGAAAGCGUGGGGAGCGAACAGG
rnacentral:rRNA from 1 species